UUGGAGGGCAAGUCUGGUGCCAGCAGCCGCGGUAAUUCCAGCUCCAAUAGCGUAUAUUAAAGUUGUUGCAGUUAAAAAGCUUGUAGUUGAAUUUCGGGAUUAGUACGUUGGUCGUGCCUUCGGUACGUACUGGUGUUACUGAUUCCUACCUUCUGACGAACCAUCAUGUCAUUAAUUUGGUGUGGCGGGGAAUCAGGACUGUUACUUUGAAAAAAUUAGAGUGUUUAAAGCAGGCUCGCGCUUGAAUACAUUAGCAUGGAAUAAUGAAAUAGGACGUUGACCCUAUUUUGUUGGUUUCUAGGAUUGACGUAAUGAUUAAUAGGGAUAGUUGGGGGCAUUAGUAUUCAAUUGUCAGAGGUGAAAUUCUUGGAUUUAUUGAAGACUAACUACUGCGAAAGCAUUUGCCAAGGAUGUUUUCAUUAAUCAAGAACGAAAGUUAGGGGAUCGAAGACGAUCAGAUACCGUCGUAGUCUUAACCAUAAACUAUGCCGACUAGGGAUCGGAUGAUGUUAUUUUUAAUGACUCAUUCGGCGCCUUACGGGAAAC
rnacentral:rRNA from 1 species